rnacentral:rRNA from 1 species
UUGGAGGGCAAGUCUGGUGCCAGCAGCCGCGGUAAUUCCAGCUCCAAUAGCGUAUAUUAAAGUUGUUGCAGUUAAAAAGCUCGUAGUUGAAUUUCGGGAUCAGUAUGUUGGUCGUGCUUCGGUACGUACUGUCAUUACUGGUUUCUACCUUCUGAAGAACCUUGGUGUCAUUAAUUUGGUGUCUUGGGGAAUCAGGACUGUUACUUUGAAAAAAUUAGAGUGUUUAAAGCAAGCAUACGCUUGAAUACAUUAGCAUGGAAUAAUGAAAUAGGACGUUUGAUUCUAUUUUGUUGGUUUCUAGGAUCGACGUAAUGAUUAAUAGGGAUAGUUGGGGGCAUUAGUAUUCAAUUGUCAGAGGUGAAAUUCUUGGAUUUAUUUAAGACUAACUACUGCGAAAGCAUUUGCCAAGGAUGUUUUCAUUAAUCAAGAACGAAAGUUAGGGGAUCGAAGACGAUCAGAUACCGUCGUAGUCUUAACCAUAAACUAUGCCGACUAGGGAUCGGAUGAUGUUAAUUUUUUAAUGACUCAUUCGGCGCCUUACGGGAAACCAAAGUGUUUGGGUUC